CUCAUGGAUGGGGCAGGGAUUGGGCUUCAGACACUGCGGAAGGGGCUGGCAGGGGUGGGGGAAGUAGUGGUGGCAGCCCUCAGCACAGCACAGCCUGAUGUGGGGGUGGCCACCCCACAGCUGGGGCCACGGAGCUUGGGCUCCCUGGCGCCCAGCAAGGGUAAGUGUGGGAGCAGACAGAGGGAAGGAUUACUCAUGGGUCUUCGCCCAUGCUCGCGCUGGCAUCUGUAGGCCCCUCGCCAGGAAUGACGUGGGCUUGGUUCUCAAGCAAUCCGGCUGUAACAGCUGGAGCCUCUGCUCCUCUUCUCCUGGGGUCCUGGGCAGGAACUUGCGCUCCCUGCAACCGUCUCUGUCCCCUCAUUCCCUCAAGCUGCUCCGUAUUAGAUGAAAGCCCUCACUGGCCUUCCACUGACUUCACCUCAGGGUCCAGACUGCUUCCUUCUCCUGUCAGCUUUCUCGCCUGAGCUUCAAACUCUACCGUUGGACAGUCCCAGAACCACUUGCGGAAGCACACAUUUGUGACUCGAGGGCUGGGAGAGGUGGACACUGGAGGAUUUUCGGUGUGCCGGCCAGCAGAUCCAGCCCAUUAUGGUUGGCUCCAGACCAAUCAGGAACCUUACUUCAGAAGACAAGGACCCUGCUCAGAAUGUACAGUGUGCCAGGCUGCGCUUCAGACUUACACAAUCUCUUCCCGGAGCCUCUCACAUCUGGAGUCCAGGCACGCGUCAUCCAGUGUCUCCUGGGCAGUCUGGGGAGCAACUGACUCUGCUUUCUUCAUAAAUGAGGCGUUUGAGGUAGAAAGCUAAAGAAAAAAAAAAUUCUUGCCUGUUUGCCGGGCAAGGUGUUAAACUCUUGUAAUCUCAGGCUUGAGAUACUGAGACAGGAGGAUUGAGAGUUUGUGGCCAGCCUGGUCUACAUAGCAAGUUCCAUGCCAGCCAGGGCCAUGCAUCUGAGAAACAGAAGAGGGAGGAAUGUGCCUAGGAACUUUUCCCACCCAGGUUAUCCAUUCCCAAUGAUCACCCUUUGAUUCCCUAUAAUUCUGUCCCCUCUUUAGGAGUUGGGGUGCACUGUGUACCCAGACACCAUCUGGUACUCAUUGCAUAUCCUCUGAAACAAAUUCCCUAUCCCUAGGUGAAAACUGGGGGCUAGUUGUAGGAUUCAGGGAACUGAGCCAUGAGUCCACCCACUAUUAGGAGGUGUGGCCUUGUUGGAGUGGGUGUGGCCUAUUGGAAGAAGCUUGUGGGCUUUGAGACCCUGGCUGGAAGACAGUAGUCUUCUCCUGACUAGCUUCAGAUCAAGAUGCAGAACUCUCAGCUCCUCCAGCACCAUGUCUGCCUGCAC